AACAUGGUUAAGUAGCCCUUCUUAGUCCGUCUUUCACCGAAGCUUCAUCGAAACUUCAUCGCGAUCGAUAGACCGUCUAUGACUCGUCCCAAAUCACUCUCCCGCGAACCAAACAUUCCUGUUCAGUCACUAGGGAGGCACCUUGCACGGAUGGGAUUGGAAUUGCUUUUCUUAUUUUCGCUACGAAAAGCUCCUCUUGUGAAAAAGUUUGCGGCACCUUCGAUUUGCUGAGAAGUGAAAAGACCUCCGUUUCUGCCCGUGGCCAUCACGUCCACGUGCUCAAAUAAUUUUCGUAUCAAGGUUUCGGGGUAAAAAUGUCGCGGAAAAAAAAUAUCCACAGUAUGGCCAUUUCAGUCAGGACGAGGUACCGAUACCUAGGUUAUUUACUACGUACAGUAACUGAUUAUCAGUACCGAACCCAGACCUAAAAUUACAAAAUGCAACCUCGGGUAUGUAUAUAUGUAGCUACUGUAUGAGAAUUCAGUACCCGAGGUGUAACCCCGGAUUUUGGGGGGUGUAUUGUCCACCCAUAGAAUUAUCAAGCAUUUUUGUUUAUUUCCUUCCCAAUAGCUAAUAUAAAAAUAUUAGAUACUGCUAUUGCUAUUUAUUAGACGAUCGGGCGAGAAAUAAUAUUAAAUAAUGCUAACACGCACGUAUUAGCUUGCUAUGAUAUAUUAAUAGCUAGAUAGAUAGCGAUAAUGCAAUAGACCAGACUCCCCCUAUAUCGUUGACUUUCGGUCGGCAAGGUGGUUACCAUAGGUUUUCAAAUGCCGACACGCGCUUCGCGCCAAAUAAACAGGGGCAACGUCGUAUCGUGCGACGCAAACUCGUCAACGUCGAUGUGCGCUUCCGAUGAUGAUGCCCUCCAUCUUUGGCGCCGAAAAGUGUAUUUGUGAGCCGCCAAGCGCGCUCGCCGUCCUCACUGGGCGCCAUAGGAAAAAAAAGCACCCGCGACCCUGUUUUAGUCAAAAUAAAGUCAACGAGUCAACAAAUCACGAGUCAACGAUAUGGAGUCGGUUCCAUUGAUCAAUCAAGCAAUAUUCACCUUCGUUCGUUCAUCAUCAUCCCUGAUAGGAUCUGACGAAGGUACCUUCGUAAUUGACCGUUGCACAAAGGCUUCGCACCUUCGCAUCCGUCACCAAACCUCUACGUGGCGAGAGUGACCUGUUUAAAUUAGCAGGGCUGCUCGAAAGACAGGUUCGACUCCCCGAAAAUCUGACCACUCUCAGCGGAAGACGGACUGCAAAUAACUAUUUGAAUCAGCGUUCGCUUCCGAUAAAGAUGAGAACGACAGCUGAGGGUGUCGUCACCAACCUGAAGGAGUUGCACGACGACAAUAUCUUCCGUACUCGCAUCCUUUCAGGUGACAAUCGGUGAGCGCUCAGCAGCAUGACGCUCUUUCCUAGUAGCCUCCCGGUGUAAGGAAGGUCACUUCGCGUUUUCCGACAAAACGUUCCCCGACUUCCGACCCGUGCAGUUGUGCCGAUCCGUAUAGAUUUGAUUCCAGCUAGUACAAGAAAUCAAAUACUGACCUCGCAUGUUCCCUUUCAGCGCGUGGUUGCAGCGGCGAGAGUCAAAAGUUGCGUUGAGAAAGGAGCGGAAACGGUAAUUCUCAUUUCUCUGAUAUCUUCAGCUUGCUUUCAAUGACUUUUGUCUUGCGCUUGCGCUUGUGGUAUUCUCAGGAAAAAUGACAAUUCCGACGGAGAAAAAGAAAAUCUUGAAAGGGAAGGUACAUUAGACGGCAGAUGUCAGUCAGGAAGAAUCUUCCAAGAGAAAACCGAUCAUCUGCAACAUGGAAUUAUGGAUUCGACGAU
rnacentral:lncRNA from 1 species